AACCUUAUGGACCUGCGGGCGUAUACCUGCGGAAGGAUCAUUACUGAGUGAGGGCCUUCGGGCUCGACCUCCAACCCUUUGUGAACACAACUUGUUGCUUCGGGGGCGACCCUGCCGUUUCGACGGCGAGCGCCCCCGGAGGCCUUCAAACACUGCAUCUUUGCGUCGGAGUUUAAGUAAAUUAAACAAAACUUUCAGCAACGGAUCU
rnacentral:misc_RNA from 1 species